rnacentral:sRNA from 1 species
GGUUCCAAACCCUUGCUGGAGAGGUGAUGCAGUCAUUUGGAGGAAAGAGGGUUGCUGUGGUAUACUGGGGUUCCACUUCAAUGCCUAGUCACCUCAGAUUUUCCUGUACCUGCAGGUAUCACCAGUGAAGCCUGUGAAGCAGCAAAGAUGGCAGUCUGCCCUGUCUUCUAGGAGCUCUGUCACAGGGAGUUACGGACAUAUUGCUGGCUCAAAAGCACUGUAGGAGAUGGCUGGAGACCCUGGUUGGGAGGUCUUGCCCAGUCAGGAGGAAUGAGAUCAAGAACCUGCUUUAAAAAGUGCUUUGACCAUGUUUUCAUAGACAAGCUAUGCUGUGCCGGGGGACCACUUCAGCUCAUGGUCACCUCAGACACUCUGAAGCCUGAAGGCUGGAACAACUACAUUGUCCAAACAGCAAAUAUGACAGCAUCUACAGAAAUCAUUUUAUUUGAGUUAUGUAGCAAGAACCCAACUUA